AUGCAACAAUCAGAAGCAGAAGCAGCAGCAGAGCCUCGUAAGGUUACCCUCUCUGCGAAUGGAGAUGCUGCCUCCCCAUCGACCAAGAGUGGCCGUGGGAGGCCAAGGAAGAUACCGGGAGGGUGUGGGAGGCCGAGAAAGGACGAGCAGCAAUCACAAGCAAAUCAUUCUCCAACUCUAGCUGCGUCAACUGGUAAAGCAGCAGCAGAGCAUCCUCCAACUCCAUUGUCAACUGAUGGUAUCAAGAGAGGGCGUGGGAGGCCGAGAAAGGAGUCCAACAAAGGAGGAUCAACAAAGGACGAUCCUCCUGCUCCUGCUGCAUUGGCAGGAGUCAAGAGAUCGUGUAGGAGGCCAAGAGUGUAUAGACCAAUGCCCGUCAAAACUGGAGAUGAACUUGAGAAUCCAGUAUAUAUCGGUUGA
rnacentral:rRNA from 1 species